rnacentral:rRNA from 1 species
GAUGAACGCUGGCGGCGUGCCUAAUACAUGCAAGUCGAGCGAACAGACGAGGAGCUUGCUCCUCUGACGUUAGCGGCGGACGGGUGAGUAACACGUGGAUAACCUACCUAUAAGACUGGGAUAACUUCGGGAAACCGGAGCUAAUACCGGAUAACAUGUUGAACCGCAUGGUUCAACAGUGAAAGACGGUCUUGCUGUCACUUAUAGAUGGAUCCGCGCCGCAUUAGCUAGUUGGUAAGGUAACGGCUUACCAAGGCAACGAUGCGUAGCCGACCUGAGAGGGUGAUCGGCCACACUGGAACUGAGACACGGUCCAGACUCCUACGGGAGGCAGCAGUAGGGAAUCUUCCGCAAUGGGCGAAAGCCUGACGGAGCAACGCCGCGUGAGUGAAGAAGGUCUUCGGAUCGUAAAACUCUGUUAUUAGGGAAGAACAAAUGUGUAAGUAACUAUGCACGUCUUGACGGUACCUGAUCAGAAAGCCACGGCUAACUACGUG